AAAUUGAAGAGUUUGAUCAUGGCUCAGAUUGAACGCUGGCGGCAGGCUUAACACAUGCAAGUCGAACGGUAGCAGGAAGAGGCUUGCUUCUUUGCUGACGAGUGGCGGACGGGUGAGUAAUGCUUGGGAAUCUGGCUUAUGGAGGGGGAUAACUACGGGAAACUGUAGCUAAUACCGCGUAGUAUCGAGAGAUGAAAGACUGGGACCGCAAGGCCAGUUGCCAUGAGAUGAGCCCAAGUGGGAUUAGGUAGUUGGUGGGGUAAAGGCCUACCAAGCCGACGAUCUCUAGCUGGUCUGAGAGGAUGACCAGCCACACUGGAACUGAGACACGGUCCAGACUCCUACGGGAGGCAGCAGUGGGGAAUAUUGCACAAUGGGGGGAACCCUGAUGCAGCCAUGCCGCGUGAAUGAAGAAGGCCUUCGGGUUGUAAAGUUCUUUCGGUGAUGAGGAAGGGUGGUGUUUUAAUAGAGCACUACAUUGACGUUAGUCACAGAAGAAGCACCGGCUAACUCCGUGCCAGCAGCCGCGGUAAUACGGAGGGUGCGAGCGUUAAUCGGAAUGACUGGGCGUAAAGGGCACGCAGGCGGUGACUUAAGUGAGAUGUGAAAGCCCCGAGCUUAACUUGGGAAUUGCAUUUCAUACUGGGUUGCUAGAGUAUUUUAGGGAGGGGUAGAAUUCCACGUGUAGCGGUGAAAUGCGUAGAGAUGUGGAGGAAUACCGAAGGCGAAGGCAGCCCCUUGGGAAAAUACUGACGCUCAUGUGCGAAAGCGUGGGGAGCAAACAGGAUUAGAUACCCUGGUAGUCCACGCUGUAAACGCUGUCGAUUUGGGGAUUGGGCUUAGAGCUUGGUGCCCGUAGCUAACGUGAUAAAUCGACCGCCUGGGGAGUACGGCCGCAAGGUUAAAACUCAAAUGAAUUGACGGGGGCCCGCACAAGCGGUGGAGCAUGUGGUUUAAUUCGAUGCAACGCGAAGAACCUUACCUACUCUUGACAUCCUAAGAAGAACUCAGAGAUGAGUUUGUGCCUUCGGGAACUUAGAGACAGGUGCUGCAUGGCUGUCGUCAGCUCGUGUUGUGAAAUGUUGGGUUAAGUCCCGCAACGAGCGCAACCCUUAUCCUUUGUUGCCAGCGAUU
rnacentral:rRNA from 1 species